AAUGGACGAAAGUCUGACGGAGCGACGCCGCGUGGUGGAUGAAGUACUUAGGUACGUAAACACCUUUUAUGAGUGAAGAAGUAUAUUGACAUUAGCUCAUGAAUAAGGGGCUCCUAACUCUGUGCCAGCAGGAGCGGUAAUACAGAGGCCCCAAGCAUUAUCCGGAUUCACUGGGCGUAAAGGGUUCGUAGGCGGUGUGAUUAGUCAGGUGUUAAAUCCUUGGGCUCAACCCAAGAAUCGCAUUUGAAACGGUCACACUAGAAGUAGUCAGAGGCAAGCAGAGCUCUCGGUGUAGGGGUGAAAUCCGUUGAUAUCGAGGGAAAUACCAAAUGCGAAGGCAGCUUGCUGGGGCUCACUUGACGCUGAGGAACGAAAGCGUGGGUAGCGAACGGGAUU
rnacentral:rRNA from 1 species